GCCAGCAGCCAUAUCACCCUGCAGCUCACACGUGGCAACCCACUGAUGUGAAGCAGGUUUGAGCCUGGUCAGUAUCUGGAUGGGAGACCUCCUGGGAAAACCUAAAGUUUCUGCCGGAA
rnacentral:rRNA from 1 species